UUCUCACUGACGGCCAUUACAGAGCGGAUAGAUAGAAAGUUGUUUCCAGUUCCUGGUUCCGUGAUUUAACUAAAAGAACUACCAACAUCAGGAUGCAUCCUGCUUUUGGGAAAGAGGGCUUUUCUGUGGUUCGGAUUCUCCCUGAGCACAGAGAUUACACUGCCAUGCGGAGAAGCCAAUUUAUUUUGGGGCUGGUAAAUCAUGUCUGGGAAGGCAGGUCCCCAGUUUAGAAAGGUGCCAUGACACAUAACUUUAAAAAAGGCAAAUACAGUACCCUGCUGAAGUGUA